AUAUCAUUGUGGAAACUAAUGAGAUCAUAUUCAUAAGAGGAUUUGAUUUCUUCUUUGUGGCAAAACAUCAAAGAAUGAAAAUCCACCCAGCAAUUGUUGCCAUAAUACUCAUAGUAAACAAUAGGACAUCUAAAGAGAGAAGCCUUAACUCCCUACUUUUUCUGCAAUUGUAAAGGAAACUGAGAGGCGAGAAGACAGUGAGGACAUGCAAGUCAGCCUGGGCGUGAGUGGCAUGGCACCUGACUUUCCUUUGAAGGUUCUGGAUGGACUGUGCUUAUGUGAAGAAAACAUUCUGACUUGCUGUGGCAGAGGUCUCAGGCCCUACCACAGGAGUGCUAAUGUUCUCCUUGAAUGGAAAAGCCGGGGCCAGGAGGCAACCAACUAUCAUAAAAGUAAUUAAUUGUCCUACUUUUUAAUGGCCUUGGCAAGACUGCCUUAAAAAAAAAAAUGAAUCACACAAACGUGACCAUGAUGCCAGACAGAUUGUCCAUUGGGACUUAAAAGACUGGUCCCUGCCAUAAAUCAUGAUAAUGAGUUCAUUUUUAAGCUGGUUUAUGAGGCUGAGAUGUGUGGUGUCGCACUAUUUUUUUCCUAAAUCUCUCACUGCCUCAAAUGCUUCUCAGAAUUCAGAGGCUAACAUUUCCUUUCAGAAACUCCUUCCAACUUGAGUGGCUGCUGUUUUACCAAUCAGGUCUUUUUCCAAAGAUGGUUUUAGCACACGAUUUUCAUGACUCAGCUUAAACUGAACAAGACCCCAUUGUUGGCUUUGUUUGCACACCAGCAUUAUUGACAAGCUCUGCCUAACUCUUGGGAAAAGGUCUGUUGUCUGACCAAGCUACUAUGGAAACCCGAUCCAGGCCGUUGAGAAGCCUAGUGCCUGCCCUCUUGAAUUUGUGAAGAAUUUUGAGGCCAGUCAAACUCAGCUCAGAAAAUAUUCAUCAGGGCAGAGGGCACAGCUUGUUCACACCACUUCACUUUUCAUCUCAAAUCAGCUGUGCAAAUAGACUCACUGGCCCAGGGUGAAAGCGGCACUGCCCAUGGGGUCAUUGUAAACCACGGAGGUUUCAUUUAUUUUAUUUCUACAUUAUUCUGACUAGACAGGGACAGGACAUGGAAAAACAGGAGCUUGGCUUCUUUUAAAAAAUGUUUAAAAGGAAUUCUCCCCUUGAAAACUGAUUGAUAGAAAAAUACUGUAGCUAACUGCUCCACACCAGAAAAUAGAUCUUGCAGGUUUGAAAGAAGAGGCUAGAAAUACAGUCUUUUUUCGCUCUCCCAUGAGACACCCCUUCCUUCUUUAGAAACAAACCUGAGAAGAGAACCAACCAAGGAAAUUACUUGUGGAGGAGGAAGGCAGACUCUGUGUUUGGGAACCUCAUCUGCCAUCUUUUGAGAGAAGUACAAAGAAUGUUCUGCUCUGUGUCUUGUGAAGGCCUCACUCCACAUUUUCUUGCUCACUGUUGACUGAGUCUUUAAAGGAUGGAACAUGCUUUGCUGCCAUUACAUCUAUGUGUAAAUCUCAUCUCAGUAAAAUAAGUAUUACAAAAUGUA